ACUCAAAUGAAUUGACGGGGGCUCGCACAAGCGGAGGAGCAUGUGGUUUAAUUCGAUGGUAAGCGAAGAACCUUACCUGGGCUUGAACGUGUAGUGACAGUGGAUGAAAGUCCAUCUCCCUUCGGGGCACUAUGCGAGGUGCUGCAUGGCUGUCGUCAGCUCGUGUUGUGAAAUGUUGGGUUAAGUCCCGCAACGAGCGCAACCCCCAUCCUAUGUUGCCAUCAUUCAGUUGGGCACUCUUAGGAAACUGCCCUGGUUAACGGGGAGGAAGGUGGGGAUGACGUCAAGUCCUCAUGGCCCUUAUGUCCAGGGCCACACACGUGCUACAAUGGAGCGCACAAAGAGAUGCGAAGCCGCAAGGCCAAGCCAAUCUCACAAAACGUUUCUCAAUUCGGAUUGGAGUCUGCAACUCGACUCCAUGAAGCUGGAUUCGCUAGUAAUCACAGAUCAGAACGCUGUGGUGAAUACGUUCUCGAGCCUUGUACACACCGCCCGU
rnacentral:rRNA from 1 species